GACGAACGCUGGCGGCGUGCUUAACACAUGCAAGUCGAACGGAAAGGCCCUGCUUUUGUGGGGUGCUCGAGUGGCGAACGGGUGAGUAACACGUGAGUAACCUGCCCUUGACUUUGGGAUAACUUCAGGAAACUGGGGCUAAUACCGGAUAGGAGCUCCUGCUGCAUGGUGGGGGUUGGAAAGUUUCGGCGGUUGGGGAUGGACUCGCGGCUUAUCAGCUUGUUGGUGGGGUAGUGGCUUACCAAGGCUUUGACGGGUAGCCGGCCUGAGAGGGUGACCGGCCACAUUGGAACUGAGAUACGGCCCAGACUCCUACGGGAGGCAGUAGUGGGGAAUAUUGCACAAUGGGCGGAAGCCUGAUGCAGCAACGCCGCGUGCGGGAUGACGGCCUUCGGGUUGUAAACCGCUUUCGCCUGUGACGAAGCGUGAGUGACGGUAAUGGGUAAAGAAGCACCGGCUAACUACGUG
rnacentral:rRNA from 1 species